rnacentral:rRNA from 1 species
UACGUAGGGUGCAAGCGUUGUCCGGAAUUAUUGGGCGUAAAGAGCUCGUAGGCGGUCUGUCGCGUCUGCUGUGAAAACUCAGGGCUUAACCCUGAGCUUGCAGUGGGUACGGGCAGACUAGAGUGCGGUAGGGGAGACUGGAAUUCCUGGUGUAGCGGUGGAAUGCGCAGAUAUCAGGAGGAACACCGGUGGCGAAGGCGGGACUCUGGGCCGAUACUGACGCUGGAGGAGCGAAAAGCGUGGGGAGCAAACAGG